AGGGCUUCUUUCUGUCAAAUAGGAUAUUUUCCUGCCUCGUGGAGAAGGGCAUUGUGAGGACUGAGUCAUAUGACAGAAUGUGACCCAAUAACUGGAUGAUGGUGUCUGGCUGCUCCAGAGGGAGAGACAAAGGAGAUGGCAGGCCCCAAGCUGCACCCACCCAGGUGUCUAGACAAGGCUCUGCAAGGGAUUGCACUCUGGCCUGAAGGAUUUGGAAGAUUAACAAAACGAGCUCUGACUGCGGUCGGAUCCCGAGACGCUGUCCAGGUGAAAGAUGCACAUCGCCCUGCGGUGAGCGCCACGGAGGAAGCUGUGAAGGAUGAGCCGUCUCCGUCUGCAGCACUGGGCCAGGCAGGCAUAAAAUCACACUCACAAGGAACUGUUCUUCAUUUUCUGCCAUGAAAUUUGGGAGGAUCAUCUUCAAUCAGUGUCGUUCCCAGGAGGAGAAGGGACCGGUUUUUAUGUUCACUCUGAUUUCACACAAAAAGAAAGCCUUGAUGAGACCAGCUCUCGGUAUCUCUGUCAGCCUCAUUCACACCUGCCCCACCUGAACUGCCCAUCACCUCCUCCCCUCGGGCACAAAGUGCAGCCCACUCUAUUUGGGUGAGGUGGUCCUUCCUGUCCACCCAGUUUCCCCUUUGUUUCCUGGAGGUGCUCCUUUUCCCACACUUCCCUCAGCUAUUGGAGCUCCUUGAGGUGCCUUGUUUCUGCCUCCUGCUGCACAUAUGAUGUCUAAGGGACUCUGAAACAGCCCCUCACAUUCCAAGCCCCACUGUGGGCCUUGCUUCUGAGCCCUGUCACUCUCACAGAUGUCCCCUCCCUCCCUUAUUUCCUUUUGCCUCACUUUUAGGGCCAGGGGAACUGUAAACUGUACUCUAGCCCAUGAUUCCAAGAUGACACUUUGCUAAACCACCUUAAGGUCCUUGACCUGAGACCCUGUCCAUUUUAUUCAAAUCUUUGGGACUUCUUUCUCAGGGCUUUUUCAGCAGGAUGGCCACCUGUCUGACCCUGUCCAUGAGCAUGGACGUACAAUCUAAGACGUUCUGCAAGCCGGCCAUUCUUAAUCCUCGCCACUGCGGUCCU